CCCUGCGCGUUCACGCUGUAGUUGCUCGCUAGUGGAGACACCGAGGGGCAGAUAACUCUCCGUUUUUCCAUGAAUAACUGCCCCUUCAGCGCGACCGCCAGCUGACGCACUGCCUGCGCGAACCCACGCGGACGGAGGAGCGACGCGGCGCGAUCGUGCGAGGAGUAUCCGGUGUUGUUCCUCUGCUCCAGUAUGGCUCAGCCGAGCUCGUGUGCUCAGAGCAGUAACGGUGUGGCUGACGAGUCUCCAAACAUGCUGGUCUACAGGAAACAUGCAUCACCCUGUGCCGUCAAGAAAACCAAGAAAGAGAGAAAAUGUGAAAAGUGUCAGAAGUCUCGAGUCACUCUGAGAGCCGAAGCGUCAGAUAACCCAUGAUCUGGAUCUGCAGGAUUAGAGUUUGGUGCCACUGUAAUGAUCGAACGCUUGGUUUGCA